AAGAUCGUACUUCACAGGAUCGUUUCUGUAGUAGAUCUUCUCAAAGCUCUGCCCUAACGUAGAGUUGAUGCAGCCACGAUGAGGAGCGAUAGCAUCUUUUCCUGAGCGUGAGGAAGGCUCGAGAAAUUGACUUUGUUUCAAUUUCUCAGUCAUCGAUGACCGUUCACCCCUUGUACUUAGUGCGAGGGGGAUGGGAAAGAUGCUUUCUGAGUGGU
rnacentral:snoRNA from 1 species